UGCAUUUUCAGGAAGAGAGUUAGGAACCGUAUAAAAGUUCUCAGAUGGGAGAGCAGCUCAUUCACUCAGCUCCACUCCUUCUUCAGAGCCUUCACCACCAAGGGUUUGCUGCACCAACCAAAAAAUGUGCUCCCGUGGAGAGAGAGGCUGCCACAGCACCGAGAGCUCCUCCUGCCACGACAGCGAGAGGUCCUGCCACGGCUCCGAGGAGGUCAUCUGCCACGAAGUGAACGCCGUGCAGGAUGUGACGCCGGUGGUGGUUCUCCCUCCCCAGUGCCCCGUGGUCUCCGCGCCGGGGCAGGUGCCGGUGGCCCCUGCUCCCUGCCAGCAGCAGCAGCAGAUCAAGCAGCCGGUGCAGUGGCCCCCGCAGCAGCAGAAGUGAAGGGGCGAGGACAAGAGGAUGGCCAGCACACACCAUGGGGCUGCACCGCUCCCCUCUCCUCCGCAAGAUGCAGCCCUGGGCUUGGGCAGCUCCUGCACCUUCCCUCCAGCACAUAUUACCUCUCCCCGCUCCCAAUAAUGCAAAGUGGCAUUAGCAUGGCAGAAAUGUGAUUUGCUCUCAUGCGUGUGAGAAUUUGAAUUCAUGAUUUCCUGCUUCUGUCUCCAGUAGCAAAGAUGUGAUAUUAAAACUUAACGCUCACAAAA